rnacentral:rRNA from 1 species
GAUGAACGCUGGCGGCGUGCCUAAUACAUGCAAGUCGAGCGAACGGACGAGAAGCUUGCUUCUCUGAUGUUAGCGGCGGACGGGUGAGUAACACGUGGAUAACCUACCUAUAAGACUGGGAUAACUUCGGGAAACCGGAGCUAAUACCGGAUGAUAUUUUGAACCGCAUGGUUCAAAAGUGAAAGACGGUCUUGCUGUCACUUAUAGAUGGAUCCGCGCUGCAUUAGCUAGUUGGUAAGGUAACGGCUUACCAAGGGAACGAUGCAUAGCCGACCUGAGAGGGUGAUAGGCCACAAUGGAACUGAGAAACGGUACCGACCACUACGGGAGGCAGCAGUAGGGAAUCUUCCGCAAUGGGCGAAGGCCUGACGGAGCAACGCCGCGUGAGUGAUGAAGGUCUUCGGAUCGUAAAACGCUGUUAUUAGGGAAGAACACAUGUGUAAGUAACUGUGCACAUCUUGACGGUACCGAUACAGAAAGCCACGGCUAACUACGU